GGAUCUGAGGGUGAGCUGGCUGUAACAUCUAAUCAUCCCAUUGGUCACCAGGGUUUACUCUGCUAAACUGGCUGGCUAGAUUGGUGUCCCCUUCCUCCCUCAUCACUGCCCCGUGUGUGUCCCUGCCAAAGAUGCACGCUUGGUUGAAGAGGACACGUUUCCCCAAACUAAGAAGGACCAUCUUCAGUCAAGGGUAUAUGAGUAGCUGCACUCCUCUGAUAUACCCUCCAAACACGCUCUUUUUAUUGGCUUAGAAAGUGGCUGGCAAUUUUAAAUAUACUAACUACGAUAUUUUUAUCAUUUCUA
rnacentral:snRNA from 1 species